CCUACGGGAGGCAGCAGUGGGGAAUAUUGGGCAAUGGAGGCAACUCUGACCCAGCAACGCCGCGUGAAUGAUGAAGGUCCUCGGAUUGUAAAGUUCUUUUCUAAGGGAAGAAGAAAGUGACGGUACCUUAGGAAUAAGCCUCGGCUAACUACGUGCCAGCAGCAGCGGUAAUACGUAGGACGCAAGCGUUAUCCGGAUUGACUGGGCGUAAAGGGUGCGUAGGUGGUUUGACAAGUUAGUAGCGAAACUCCGGGGCUCAACUUCGGAACUACAACUAAAACUGUUGGACUUGAGUGCAGGAGGGGCAAUCGGAAUUCCUGGUGUAGCGGUGGAAUGCGUAGAUAUUAGGAAGAACACCAGUUGCGAAGGCAGAUUACUAGACUGUAACUGACACUGAGGCACGAAAGCGUGGGGAGCAAACAGGAUUAGAUACCCUAGUAGUC
rnacentral:rRNA from 1 species